rnacentral:rRNA from 1 species
GACGAACGCUGGCGGCGUGCCUAAUACAUGCAAGUCGAACGCAGUGGGGACGGGUGAGUCACACGUGGGUAACCUCCCAUCAGAGGGGAUAACACUUGGAAACAGGUGCUAAACCGAUACUGAUGGAUGGCCCCGCGGUGCAUUAGCUAGUUGGUGAGGUGACGGCUCACCACGGCCACGAUGCCUAGCCGGCCUUGGAGUGUGAUCGGCCCCCCUGGGACUGAGACACGGCCCAGACUCCUACGGUAGGCAGCAGUAGGGAAUCUGCGGCAAGGGACGAGAGUCUGACCGAUCAACGCCUCGUGAGUGAAGGAGGUUUUCGGAUCGUAAAACUCUGUUGUUAGAGAAGCUGUAUCUAACCAGAGAGCCACGGCUAACUACGUGCCAGCAGCCGCGGUAAUUC